UAGCAUAUCACUAAGCGGAGGAGAAGAAACGAACCAGGAUUUCCCUAGUAACGGCGAGCGAACCGGAAAGAGCCCAGCUUGAAAAUCGCGGCGCCUCGCGCCGCGAGUUGUGGUCUGGAGAAGGCUCCUCUGCGCCGCGCCGGGCCCAAGUUCCCUGGAAAGGGACGUCAUCGAGGGUGACAACCCCGUCCGCGCCCGGAACGCGUCGCUCCACGAGGACCUGUCGGCGAGUCGGGCUGUUUGGGAAUGCAGCCCUAAGCGGGAGGUAAAUUCCUUCCAAGGCUAAAUACGGGCAGGAGACCGAUAGCGAACAAGUACCGCGAGGGAAAGAUGAAAAGGACUUUGAAAAGAGAGUUAAAAAGUGCUUGAAAUUGCUGGGAGGGAAGCGAAUGGAAGCCGCGGGUGCGCCCCGGUUGGAUGCGGAACGGUUUGCAAAGGCUGGUCCGCCGCUCAACGCGGGGCGCUGGUCAGCGUGGGCCGUGGCGCCGGGACAAGAGCGGGGUGUGUUCCCCGCCGAUGCCGGCGCGGCGGCCGAGGCACGAAGCGCGCGCCUUCAGGCGUGGGGAAACCCGACUGCGCGCUCGGGACGCUGGCGUACUGGGCUCUCCAUCCGACCCGUCUUGAAACACGGACCAAGGAGUCUAACAUGCAUGCGAGCCGGUGGGCGGCAAACCCAUUGAGGCGCAAGGAACCUGACAGGUGGGACCCCGACCGCGAGGGAGGGCGCACCAUCGACCGACCGUGAUCUUCUGUGAAAGGUUUGAGUGGGAGCAUGCCUGUUGGGACCCGAAAGAUGGUGAACUAUGCCUGAGCAGGGCGAAGCCAGGGGAAACCCUGGUGGAGGCUCGUAGCGAUACUGACGUGCAAAUCGUUCGUCAGACUUGGGUAUAGGGGCGAAAGACUAAUCGAACCAUCUAGUAGCUGGUUCCCUCCGAAGUUUCCCUCAGGAUAGCUGGAGCUCAUGAAGUUUUAUCAGGUAAAGCGAAURAUUAGAGGCAYCGGGGGUGCAACACCCUCGACCUAUUCUCAAACUUUAAAUGGGUAAGCCGCCGGGGUUGCUCGGAUGAACCCCGGCACAGAAUGAGAGYUCCAAGUGGGCCAU
rnacentral:rRNA from 1 species